UUUUUUUGGUGAUUACUAAAGAGAAACCGGUCUUCUCUCCCUUUAGUCAAAUGACAAAGAGCUGGGGCAGUUGGAUAAAAGCCUUUUAACAACCUGAACGAGAGGAACAGGGAAACCUGCUCCUUUAGCUGUGGCAAAGAUGUGGCAGGUCACAUCUCAGGCCUUUGCUGGUAGCAGCAUGUGGGGGGUGGCCAUGUACUUUGAAUCAUUAGCACGUCAAUUAUACUAUCACGCUGGCUACUCCUAGUUCACUGCGCAGAGGGAUGUUCUCCUUUCACUCUACCCUUUUUUUCAUCACUCAGCUCCAGUUGUACCUUCUUUGAGAAGCUUCUACAAACAGCCCAGUUGGAAGUGCUCUGUCCCCACUGUUAAUCCUCUUGUUUCUCACCGUUACGCUCUUAGUUUUCCAUUGUUACAUGUGAGUUGUCCACGAGGAUACAUGCAUAAGUAUGAGAAUAUAUACCCCUUCCUCAGCAAUUAGCACAGAGAAUUGAAUUAAGCAGUACAAAGGUUUUCAGUUUUAGGUUUACCUGAUUACCCCUUACUAUACUCAAAUGCAUCCCAAUACUUCUGUACUCCUAAAUCAACUGACAACCUUUAAGCAUAUGCUCUUUUGCUAGGUCUUGAAGAGGAGGCACAACUGCCUUCAUAUGAGUCCAGUGUGUGUUGUCAAAAUGUAACUUUUGAAUUGUUCUAAAGCCACAGUAAGAGAACAGACAGAUGAUCUGAAAGGAUGGUGUGUAUAGUCUGAGACUAUUAAAUUUGAGUCCAGCAAUAAAAUCCAGUUUAAAUGGUGUGACCAUAUGACAUGGUUCAGCCAGCAGAAUGUUGAGUGGAAGCGAUGUAACUUUGGAGGCAAAGAUGUAAGAGCCAGUGAGUGGUCUGCCAUGUUGCCUUCCUACUGCUGCAGAGAUCUUGGAAAUUCCUGGCAAGAUGAAGCCUCCAUCAUCUGGGUUCCUGGGGAACUCUGAUCAGCCUCUGCUGACCCAUGUUAGACAUGCAGUGUGAGUGAAAAAUAAACUUUUGCUUAAUUAAGCCACUGAGAUUGUACAGGAGGUGGGUGGGUGGGGGGUUAUUACUACAGUACACCUUAGUUCUGCCUAAGUAGUAAAUAUAUAGAUGAGAAGUCACAACCCAAAUAAAAUAGCUGCAAAUUAACUGAGCCCCAUUUUACUGUGCUAUAUGGCUGCUGAUGGGUGGAAAACCUAUGAGUAGGACCAAAAUCGCUCCUUAAGAGAGAUAUAUAAAGCAAACAUCUUACUGGUUCUAAAAGAAAGUAGCCACAACUCAUUGCAUAUAUUUUGAAUAUAUUCAUUCAAUUAAUAUAUUCCAGUGAAUACAUUUAAUACCCCCCUCCCACUAUAAAUAUAACUUUAAAUCCACUUGUUUUUUUAAAACAAUUAUCCCAGUAACAUCCUCACUACCCCUAAAGUUUUGUAAUAAACAGAAGAUAUCAAAUGCCUUUCAAUUCACAGCACAGAUAAAUUUCCCUCCAACCUCAUGUUGGAGAGAAAACUUGUGUUUGGUAAAACUGUUUAGCACUGUACAGGAAAAACAAAAAAACCCUGAGAUAGUCUUCUAUGAAGGGACCAAGCCACUCAAAAGAAAUGAAGGUUGAAACUGAUGUUUUCACUUGCAAAUAGAACACUGUUCAACCCCUGGGGACACUGGCUGGGAUUCCUCGUUCUGCACUGAUUUUUCACUUCUGCCUCCACUGAUGUGAGCAUUGGCAUCAAGCAGACAUCCUGCAGGCCUGACCAAGCAGCCUGCCAGUUUGACCCCUGCAGAGCUCAGAUUUCCUGUGUGAUAAAUGGCUUUUUUCAGUGGCUCAGCUCUGACUGCUGUCCUUCCCUGUGACGGGGAGGCACUGCCAAAUGGGAACUCCUGAGGCAGAGCUUUUCAAUUUGGGUCUGGGGUACUGAGGGGUGCAGAGAAUGGAGAGUUAAUGCUUGGAGAAGUUAUUUCCAAAUGGAAGCUGGGAGCUUCCUGGCUGAGUGACCAAACAGCUGCGUGAAAACAGAAGGGCUGUCAAUAUUAUGAAUGAAAAUGUAAAAUAACCUUUGUAACCUGAUUUGCAGGUCUCCUUCCAGACACAACUGAGCUCAACAAAUUGGUGCUGAGUGACUGAGAGAGGCAUGUAGUCCUAGCCCCAGCUUUGACUGUAAUCAGCUGUGUCGACCUUGUUCAAGUCAGCCCUCUGGGCCUCCAUCCCCUCACCAGGAGAAUACUGGUCAUUUUAAUAAAUGGACCCAGCAACUAGGUGGUCACUAUUUUUAGCACGGAGGUGAAGACUGUAUCUGUUGGUAGGGGUAGGGGCUAAGUGGAAUAAGGGUUUCAUUUCUCAGGAAAGCACAUUAGCCAGUGAGGGUCUGUUGGCAUCUGACAUGUUGACAAGUUCUCUUGCAUAGAACUAAUAUUCUUUGGGAUCACAUAUGGAUUGCAGUGAGGAAAGGAUGAACCUGUACUCUUUCUGUACCUGAUGAUCAACUGAAAUCUCUCUCCCUUUGACUCUGCUUAGUUGCCCCAGUUGAAAGGUUUUGGGUCAGCACAGCUUAUCUCUAGAAUCACAGUGACUUCUGGGCCAGGACCACUUCAAGGAUUUAGGUAUGUUCUGGGCUAGGGCAGUAGAAUCUAUUUUGGGAUUUCCCAGAGCCAUUCAAAGCUUACCCCAGAAUGAAUUCAAACUCUGAGAGGACAUAUCCUCUCCCCGCCCCCGCACCCCCCCCCCUUUUUUUUUUUGAGGAAGAUUUUAAAAAGAGUUGUUGAAGCCUAAUGAUUAUCAGGGGUAUGAGGAUUAUCAGGGGUAUGAGGGUAGAAUGAGAGAGACAGAGAGAG
rnacentral:lncRNA from 1 species